rnacentral:rRNA from 2 species
AUAUCAAUAAGCGGAGGAAAAGAAACCAACAGGGAUUGCCUCAGUAACGGCGAGCGAAGCGGCAAAAGCUCAAAUUUGAAAGCUAGCGUCUUUUAGGCGUUCGCAUUGUAAUUUGAAGAUGGCAACUUUGGUGGCGGCUCUUGCACAUGUUCCUUGGAACAGGACAUCAUAGAGGGUGAGAAUCCCGUACAUGGUGGGAGUACCGUUGCUUUGUAAAGUGCUUUCUAAGAGUCGAGUUGUUUGGGAAUGCAGCUCUAAGUGGGUGGUAAAUUCCAUCUAAGGCUAAAUAUAGGCGAGAGACCGAUAGCGAACAAGUACAGUGAUGGAAAGAUGAAAAGAACUUUGAAAAGAGAGUGAAAUAGUACGUGAAAUUGUUGAAAGGGAAGGGCUUGAGAUCAGUCUUGGCUUGUAGUGAUCAACUGUGUUUCGGCACUGUGCACUCGCUACUUGCUGGGUCAGCAUCAGUUUUGGUGGUAGGAUAAGAACAGUUGAAUGUGGCUUUUCUUCGGGAAAGUGUUAUAGCUUCUGUUGAUACUGCCAACCGGGACUGAGGACCGCGCUUCGUGCUAGGAUGCUGAC